AGGAAUCUGCCUGGUAGUGGGGGAUAACGUCCGGAAACGGGCGCUAAUACCGCAUACGUCCUGAGGGAGAAAGUGGGGGAUCUUCGGACCUCACGCUAUCAGAUGAGCCUAGGUCGGAUUAGCUAGUUGGUGGGGUAAAGGCCUACCAAGGCGACGAUCCGUAACUGGUCUGAGAGGAUGAUCAGUCACACUGGAACUGAGACACGGUCCAGACUCCUACGGGAGGCAGCAGUGGGGAAUAUUGGACAAUGGGCGAAAGCCUGAUCCAGCCAUGCCGCGUGUGUGAAGAAGGUCUUCGGAUUGUAAAGCACUUUAAGUUGGGAGGAAGGGCAGUAAUUAAUACCUUGCUGUUUUGACGUUACCAACAGAAUAAGCACCGGCUAACUCCGUGCCCAGCAGCCGCGGUAAAUACGAAGGGUGCAAGCGUUAAUCGGGAAUUAACCUGGGUGUAAAGC
rnacentral:rRNA from 1 species